GGGGGCGACCUGGUUUCGACGUGGGUUGCGAAGCAGCUCAGGGCAUACCGAGGUCCAGCCACCUCGUUAAUCCGCUGGAAGCAAAUAGUCGCCAACGACGACCGUUACGCUCUGGCCGCCUAACACCGGCCAGACCCUGCCCCGGCUUGCCCAUGGGCCGGCUCGAGAAGCCGCGUGGCUUCAAGAGAAGCAGGGUCAUUGACAUGGGAUCGUGUCGGGAGACUGCCGCCGGUACCGGCACUAAACUGAGGCGGACCGCUCUCCAGGAGCCUGUCGGUCGGCGCCUGGUGAGUCAGAUCAAAAGACCCGACUAAGUAUGUAGACCUGACUGCAGAGGACUUGCGGACGCGGGUUCGAUUCCCGCCGCCUCCACCA
rnacentral:tmRNA from 1 species